AGCUAUGUUGUAUAUCUGAAAUUAAUAUACCACUGUAAAUCAACUAUAUGUCACAGUUUUUUAUGUUUAAUUGAAGAGUAUUUUAUUCAAAUGUGAGACUUUUUCAUUGCUCUUAGAGGCUCCAAACAAUUCUUUAAAACUCCAAAUGUACUCUAACCAUACAUUUAGGAUAUAAAUUGUAUUGUGACUUUUCUGAGCACAUAGUAGGAAACUUUAAAAAGUUAGUCAUAUGUUCUUGAGAUCUUGAUUUCAUUUUUAGUGCAAAGUGUAUUUGGAGGUGACAUAGAAAAUGUUCCCUUUGCAUUUCCAGUAGCCUGCAGGAAAACACAUACUUAAGAUGUUAGGCAGCAUUUAUAAAGUGUUGUUUGCCAAGAAGGAGAUGAUGCUAGCUAUCGCUUUCUCCCUGCAGGCUGCUCUGAGUCUUCCACGACGCCCUUUCCUUCACUGUUCUACUGUGAUACCCACUGUGGUUCUGACCCUAAAGUUUACAAUGCACUUUUUCAAGCUCAAAGACUCAUGGUGCUUUCUUCCCUGGAUGUUAUUUAUAUCAUGGACCUCACACCACAUCCGAGAUGGAAUUCGCCAUGGCUUGUGGAUAUGCCCAUUUGGAAAAACUUCUCCUUUGCCAUUUUGGCUUUAUGUAAUAAUCACGUCAUCUCUACCUCACAUCUGUUCAUUCGUUAUGUAUUUCACAGGGACCAGACAAAUGAUGUCUUCAAAACAUGGAAUUCAUAUUGAUGUGUGAGAUAACCACAUGGCAGUCUUUGAGAACCACUGGUUGAGACGAUGACAACCAACAUUAAAAUGAAUUUAAAACACAUAUUAGGUACUUAUGUUAAUUAUUAUAAUUCCUAAAUCCUCUUGCUCAGGAGGCAUGUAUAUUUCUUAAAAAAUUAUCUGUAUUUGUUGUAUUCCUUUCUUCUAUAACACUGUAGUGUAACAUCAGAGUUUCAUUCACUCUGUGGUAUAUUUUAUUAUUUCUUUUCUUUAUCUGGCUUUACUAAUAUUAUUAGAUUAACAUCCAGUUAAGUUUUCUGGAAAUAUACCUUUAAGGUAAUUCAUUUCCUGAUGGAAAACAGCUCAAAUUUUAGGAUAAUUAAUUUGUGGAACGUUAGCAUUUUGUUUGGAUCCAAGUUUUCCUGAGAUAUUGAAACAAUAAAAUGCCAAAGUAAAUGAGAUUAUGAAUAAGAUGUAUAAUGAAUGCUAACGUUUCUUCAUUUCAUAUAUUUUGAUCCUGACUCAUUUGCCAAGUGCUUUAGUGAGUUGUGAUUACUGGCAGAAACUGCUUUAGUGCACUUAUAAUAUUCUUAAAAGACGAUAGCAUUAAACCUGGGUUAUUGUUUCAGAAAUAACUUUGGGAAAUUAUUAUAACAUGUUGGCUGUAGUAACAGUCUACUGAAGUAUUAUUUUUCAGUAUCUUUGCCCUCAAAUCUCAUGUGUUGGAAUUUUAACUGUUUUGAAAAACAUAACUAAAUUUAACAAAAUAUUUGUUUAAAGUUAACAUUAAUAAAAUAUUGAUACUUGACCCAUCACCAUAGAAUUCACAAGAAAGGACCUAACCAAUAAUGUCAUUUCAAAUGUAAGCUCCUGAAUGUGCCAUUAAAAUUGCUUUAGUUGCUAUCAAUUUGUUUAUAUGCUAUUCUAAAAUCUAUACCAGCUAAAUCAUUUUUUAAAAAUUUGCCUGAUACUGAGAGACAAUUUUUUUUCCCCAAAAAAAGGAAUAUUAAGAGAUUGGCUUUUUCCUCUGUUCUUUAAGUUGAUCUUCUGUUAAAAAUGAUUAGCCUUCAUUGGAGAAGGAAAAUUGAGUUGCUGUAAGUUUUACAUUUACAGUUUAAUGUUACUUUGAUAUAAGUCAGUGCCCCCAAAGCACCUGUUUUUGUUUUUGUAGCAUUUGUACCAGCUGCUGUCUUCAGAUUUUCUUACAGGUUUGAGUUUGUAAUGCUGGUGAUUUUGUGCCUUAAUCUCUGAGAAGUGAUGAAGCGAUGCCUUAUCCAAAGCAGAUUUUUCUUAUUAAGUUAAACAGAGUUCUGUAAAUUGUUAUAAAGGGUCAGGCUGUUUAGUUUUUCUUCUUUUUGUUAAGUAAUUGGUUGCAAUCUGUUAUACUUUAUAAAAUAAUUCACCCUUACAACCCAUUCUAGUCUUUCCAGAGCAAUCACUGUGUCAAUUUGGUUGGUUUAAUAGUAUACAUUAUAUAGUGGGGGUAAAUUGAUUAAGGUAGAGAUUUUUUAAAAGCAUAUGAUUUUAGAAAUCCAUGGAAAUAAAGUUAUCUUGUGUAAUUUUUCUGACUAAAUUACAAAA